rnacentral:lncRNA from 1 species
GGGCGUGAGUCAGCUGCUUUUUCCAGAACAGGAAUUGGCUUCAGGUGAGGGUCUAGCGUCGCCCCACGGACCAAUCUUGGUUCACGAGGCCGAGGGCAGCCCAGCAACCACGCGGAAGCCCGGAAUCACCCGCAGCGCUCCCGUCCUCCACAGGUCUUUGCAACAGCCCCAGCACCACCCGCGGGACGAAAUGGCUGGAGCUGGGGGCGGCCACGGGGAAUCGCUGGUUCCCAGGAUGGAGUUUUACUUCUAACAGUCAGGCCUCUCUGCGGCAAGUCGGCUGGAGUUUGCUGGAGGCCCACUCCAGACCCUGUUUGCCUGGCUAUCACCAGCAGAGGCCACCGAAGAGCAAAUAUUGCUGCCUGUUCCUUCCUCUGGAAGCUUCGUCCCAUAUGGGCACCCACCAGAUGCCACCUGGAGCUAUUUUGUAUAAGGUGUCUCUUUGCCCCUCCUGGGAGGUCAGGAGGCACAGGGUCAGAGACCCACUUAAGAAGACAGUCUGAAGCGCUGUGCUGGGAGAUUCACUGUUCUCUUCAGAGCCAGCCAGCAGGAAUGUUUAAGUCUGCUGAAGCUGCACCCAUAGCAACCCCUUCCUCCAGGGAGAUGGGAAUUUUGUCUAUAGUCCCCUGACUGGGGCUGCUGCCUUUCUUUAGAGAUGCCCUGCCCAGAGACAAGGAAUCUAGGGAGGAAGUCUGGCUACAGUGGCUUUGCCAAGCUUCAGUGGGCUCUGCCUAGUUUGAACUUCCCAGCGCUUUGUUUACACUGUGAGGGGAAAACCACCUACUCAAGCCUCAGUAAUGGUGGAUACCCUUACCCCCAUCAGGCUUGAGUGUCCAGGUCAACUUCAGACUGCUGUGCUGGCAGUGAGAAUUUCAAGCCAGUGCAUCUUAGCUUGUUGGGCUCCAUGGAGGUGGCAUCUACUGAGCUAGACCACUUAGCUCCCUGGCUUCAGUUCCUUGUCCAAGGGAGUGAAGGUUUCUGUCUCACUGAUGUUCCAAGUCCACUGGGGUAUGAAAAUAACUCCUGAAGCUAGCUUGGUGUCUGCCCAAAUGGCCUCCCAGAUUUGUGCUUGAAACCCAGGGCCCUGGUGGCUUGGGCACCCAAGGAAAUCUCCUGGUCUGUGGGUUGUAAAGACUGUGGGAAAAGCAGUCUUUGCAUCUGGGCCGGAGUGCACCAUCCCUGAAGACACAGCCCCUCAUGGCUUCCCUUGGCUGGGGGGAGAGUUACCCAAGCCCUUGCACUUCCCAGGUGAGGCAACACCCCACCCUGCUUCAGCUCCCCAUCCAUGGGCUGCACCCACUUUCUAAUUAGUCCCAUUGAGAUUACAGGGUACCUCAGCUGCCUUCUGCAUUGAUCUUGCUGGGAGCUGCAGACUGGAGCUAUUCCUAUUUGG